UACGAAGGGGGCUAGCGUUGUUCGGAAUCACUGGGCGUAAAGGGCGCGUAGGCGGCCUGAUAAGUCGGGGGUGAAAGCCUGUGGCUCAACCACAGAAUUGCCUUCGAUACUGUUAGGCUUGAAUCCGGGAGAGGGAUGCGGAAUUCCAGGUGUAGCGGUGAAAUGCGUAGAUAUCUGGAGGAACACCGGUGGCGAAGGCGGCAUCCUGGACCGGUAUUGACACUGAGGCGCGAAAGCCAGGGGAGCAAACGGG
rnacentral:rRNA from 1 species